GACGAACGCUGGCGGCGUGCUUAACACAUGCAAGUCGAACGGAGAGGCCCUGCUUUUGUGGGGUGCUCGAGUGGCGAACGGGUGAGUAACACGUGAGUAACCUGCCCUUGACUUUGGGAUAACUUCAGGAAACUGGGGCUAAUACCGGAUAGGAGCUCCUGCUGCAUGGUGGGGGUUGGAAAGUUUCGGCGGUUGGGGAUGGACUCGCGGCUUAUCAGCUUGUUGGUGGGGUAGUGGCUUACCAAGGCUUUGACGGGUAGCCGGCCUGAGAGGGUGACCGGCCACAUUGGGACUGAGAUACGGCCCAGACUCCUACGGGAGGCAGCAGUGGGGAAUAUUGCACAAUGGGCGGAAGCCUGAUGCAGCAACGCCGCGUGCGGGAGGACGGCCUUCGGGUUGUAAACCGCUUUCGCCUGUGACGAAGCGUGAGUGACGGUAAUGGGUAAAGAAGCACCGGCUAACUACGU
rnacentral:rRNA from 1 species